GCCAUCAUGGCUCAGUGGUUGAGCGUCGACCUAUGAACCAGGAGGUCAAGGUUCGAUUCCCUGUCAGGGCA
rnacentral:tRNA from 1 species